UCCUGGCUCAGGAUGAACGCUAGCGGGAGGCCUAACACAUGCAAGCCGAGCGGUAGAGAUUCUUCGGGAUCUUGAGAGCGGCGUACGGGUGCGGAACACGUGUGCAACCUGCCUUUAUCAGGGGGAUAGCCUUUCGAAAGGAAGAUUAAUACCCCAUAAUAUAAUGAGUGGCAUCACUUAUUAUUGAAAACUCCGGUGGAUAGAGAUGGGCACGCGCAAGAUUAGAUAGUUGGUAGGGUAACGGCCUACCAAGUCAAUGAUCUUUAGGGGGCCUGAGAGGGUGAUCCCCCACACUGGUACUGAGACACGGACCAGACUCCUACGGGAGGCAGCAGUGAGGAAUAUUGGACAAUGGGUGAGAGCCUGAUCCAGCCAUCCCGCGUGAAGGACGACGGCCCUAUGGGUUGUAAACUUCUUUUGUAUAGGGAUAAACCUUUCCUCGUGAGGAAA
rnacentral:rRNA from 1 species